UACGGGGGGGGCAAGCGUUGUUCGGAAUUACUGGGCGUAAAGGGCUCGUAGGCGGCCAACUAAGUCGGAUGUGAAAUCCCCAGGCUCAACCUGGGAACUGCAUCCGAUACUGGAUGGCUUGAAUCCGGGAGAGGGAUGCAGAAUUCCAGGUGUAGCGGUGAAAUGCGUAGAUAUCUGGAGGAAUACCGGUGGCGAAGGCGGCAUCCUGGACCGGCAUUGACGCUGAGGAGCGAAAGCUAUGGGAGCAAACGGG
rnacentral:rRNA from 1 species